GCUGAGAGAGCAAGUCUGUGACUGAUCAGGAGAGCACCUGACCAGAGGAGGAGCAACUCAGGAGCUAUAAGCCUGAGUUCCUGAUGCAGAAGGGUAGUGCAGUCUUGAACUCUGCAUGAAGAAGAGUUCCUGCCUGUGUAGGUAGGCAGGCGGGGGGGGAAGAGCAGCAGGUCAGAGCAGGUACCCCAGGGGUUCAGAGACAGCUGGAGACUGGGGAAGAGGAUUCUGCAAUGACUUGACUAUUUCAAACAUUGGGAUGGCAUUGCUUACUUUAACUUAACUGGAGGAGAGUUGUAGUUACAGGGUAAGUAUGAAGCCCAGGGAGUGGUGCCUGGCAGGGUACUGAUCCUCAGACAGCUCGGCCUGAGGUCAAGGACUGAGAAGGCUGCAGCCUGGUUCAGGCCAAUAUUGGGAGAGCCAAAGCUAAUGAUAGUGGUGUGGACUAGCCACCUCCUGAGGGCAAGAGACUAAUGUAGUGGGAGACAGUGCACCUGGGGUCAAGCACCCAGUUGGCUCAGGGCUAGGAUAGAGACAAAGUAACUGUAUUGGGGCCAGGGGUCCAAAGAGAAAAUGGCUAAGGUCACAAUAGGAAGGCUGAAGCCAGAAAGGCAGUGCAGUGUGUGGCAGGCUGGAGGGGCUCCUCACGUGGCUCCAAGAUCGCCUACCAGAGGCUGUGGCCAGCAGGAGAAGUACCUGAGAGGUUCCCGGCUCUGCUUCCAGCUCCUCCAGCAAGAGGCCAGGAAGCUUCAUGUGAGGCAGGGGCUCCUGGAAGGUCAAGACCUCUGGCAGUUCAGAGUAGCACUACUACUGGUGGCUGUGUGGUAGUGUUUCUGCCUACCAUGUGGGAGCGCCCAGUUUAAGUCCCAGCUGGAAUGACUUGUGAUAUGUCAAUGAGGAUUUUAAUGCUCAGGGGAAUUAGUUGGGUUCUUCAUUACACUCUUCACCUUCUCCUGCAGAUGGAGUUACCCUGUGAACCCCAAAACUGUUCAGACCCCUCUCUCUACAGAUGCCUAGUGAAGACAGGAUUUAUUUUGAGGACUGAGAUACAUUUCUUUGCAUUUCAUGCCCAGUGUUGCCACAUACAGCCUAUGAGGAGAAUAAACUGGAUUUAAGCCUC